rnacentral:rRNA from 1 species
AUUGAACGCUGGCGGCAUGCCUUACACAUGCAAGUCGAACGGCAGCGGGGGAGAAGCUUGCUUUUCCUGCCGGCGAGUGGCGAACGGGUGAGUAAUACAUCGGAACGUGCCCUGUAGUGGGGGAUAACUAGUCGAAAGAUUAGCUAAUACCGCAUACGACCUGAGGGUGAAAGUGGGGGACCGCAAGGCCUCAUGCUAUAGGAGCGGCCGAUGUCUGAUUAGCUAGUUGGUGGGGUAAAGGCCUACCAAGGCGACGAUCAGUAGCUGGUCUGAGAGGACGAUCAGCCACACUGGGACUGGGACACGGCCCAGACUCCUACGGGAGGCAGCAGUGGGGAAUUUUGGACAAUGGGCGAAAGCCUGAUCCAGCAAUGCCGCGUGUGUGAAGAAGGCCUUCGGGUUGUAAGCACUUUUGUCCGGAAAGAAAUGGCUCUGGUUAAUACCUGGGGUCGAUGACGGUACCGGAAGAAUAAGGACCGGCUAACUACGUGCCAGCAGCCGCGGUAA